rnacentral:lncRNA from 1 species
GGAGCCGGGAAGCAGCCCGCCCGGAGCGCCGCCGCAUGCCCAGAAACAAUAGCUGUGAGUUACCAUGGUGGAAGCAGCCCUGAGGGGUGGCGAUACAGUAAAGGAAAACAGCAGCAGCUAGCUUCCCGUGAGCCAGAUGCUAUCUUUGGUGGUCACCUCACCUUCACUUCCAAGAAUCCUGAGGAUACUUUGGAGGGUUGGAGACAACGGACAGCAGAAUAAACCCUGAAGACAAAGUGAUGGAUGAUGAGGAGGACAAGAUGGGACAGGUGACAGCUGUCUGGCACAGUGAUGAGCUGGAACCUCUUCUCACCCCAGGAGAGUCUGAGCCAGUCCCAGCUUUCCAUCUCUGCUGUGCACAUGGUGCAGAAGUGAGGAGUCCAGAUGUGUCCUUCAGAGGAACCCCCAACAUAUUGGUGGAGUACUUCCGCCAGAUAAGCAAGUGGCCAAGGAGAAGCAAGGAAGACAAAUUACAAGAGGUGCUUCAAUCCUCAGAUGCCAGAAAACACAAACUGAGUCUGGGAAGAGAGACCAUAAAUGAAAAUCAUAAAAUAGACAGGCAGAAGAGGAAGGUGAGCCAGGAGUGAAUUUUAAUGGGCCACGCGUGGAUGGAGGUGAUAGAGGAG